rnacentral:rRNA from 1 species
UACGUAGGGUGCGAGCGUUAAUCGGAAUACUGGGCGUAAAGCGUGCGCAGGCGGUUUUGUAAGACAGGCGUGAAAUCCCCGAGCUCAACUUGGGAAUUGCGCUUGUGACUGCAAGGCUAGAGUGUGUCAGAGGGGGGUAGAAUUCCACGUGUAGCAGUGAAAUGCGUAGAGAUGUGGAGGAAUACCGAUGGCGAAGGCAGCCCCCUGGGACAUGACUGACGCUCAUGCACGAAAGCGUGGGGAGCAAACAGG